rnacentral:rRNA from 1 species
AGAGUUUGAUCCUGGCUCAGAGCGAACGCUGGCGGCAUGCUUAACACAUGCAAGUCUGACGGGCCUGGGGCUUGCUCCGGGUCAGUGGCGGACGGGUGAGGAGCGCGUAGGAACGCAUCCAAGGGUGGGGGACAACCGCGGGAAACUGCGGCUAAUACCGCAUGGGGCCUGAGGGCCAAAGGCUGGGAGACCAGCCGCCCAUGGAGCGGCCUGCGUCCGAUUAGCUAGUUGGUGAGGUGACGGCUUACCAAGGCUACGAUCGGUAGCUGGUCUGAGAGGAUGAUCAGCCACACUGGGACUGAGACACGGCCCAGACUCUUACGGGAGGCAGCAGUGGGGAAUAUUGGACAAUGGGCGCAAGCCUGAUCCAGCAAUGCCGCGUGGAUGAAGAAGGUCUUCGGAUUGUAAAGUCCUUUCGGCGGGGACGAUGAUGACGGUACCCGCAGAAGAAGCCCCGGCUAACUUCGUGCCAGCAGCCGCGGUAAUACGAAGGGGGCUAGUGUUGCUCGGAAUGACUGGGCGUAAAGGGCGCGUAGGCGGAAUGCUUUGUCGGAUGUGAAAUUCCAGGGCUUAACCUUGGGGCUGCAUUCGAGACGGGUAUUCUUGAGUGGAGAAGAGGGUCGUGGAAUUCCCAGUGUAGAGGUGAAAUUCGUAGAUAUUGGGAAGAACACCGGUGGCGAAGGCGGCGACCUGGUCUUUGACUGACGCUGAGGCGCGAAAGCGUGGGGAGCAAACAGGAUUAGAUACCCUGGUAGUCC